rnacentral:lncRNA from 10 species
ACAAGUGAGCUCAUGGAAACCUCUCCAUCGUUGACCAGGAUCUAUAGGAAAACCCUCCUCUUCUUCUAUAUGCAAAGGCUGCACAGCUCCUGGUUCACCUGCACCUCUCCAGACCACCAUGGUGCCUGCAGCUCUGAGGGCAUUUUAAAUCAUCACAGAACAACAAGCAUAUAAGCAUCAUGAGCGCCUCUGGACCUCUGACGUGCCUUGUGGAGGCCUGCCAGGCCCACGUUUUAAUUUACAUGAACUCGAUGCCCUUUUUGACAGGGAGAGAUCUGUUUCUUUAUUUGUUAGCCUUUCCCCUGGACCUGCUAGAUCUGGACCAUCCCCAGGAAAGGAAGGUCACACCACAAAGAUAAAUAUAAACAAAAUGAGUUAAUUAAGAAGGAGUUAGUCUGAAAUUCAAUAUUCCCAAGAGUCCAAGCCCUUCAGUUCUAAGUGAAUUUUUCUCCCCUGUAAAAUAGAACUGUUGGGUACAGUGAGAUUCCAUUGUAUAUGGUCUCACUUAGAAUUUGUCUCAUUUCACAUAUGCAAACACUGAGGCUCUGUGAGGUGAGAGAUCUGCUGCACUAGGUCCUGAAAGGCACAGCCAGUGAGCAUUCAGCCCAGGGUACAUCUGCUGGCUUCACAGUUGCCCUGCUAUUCUGUGGUCCAAUGUGGCUGCUCUAGCUCCAGCCAUCACAUCUGCAUUCUUACCAGUGGGAAGGGCAAAGCAUGACCUUUCUUUUUAAGACACGUUUGAAGUUGCAUACAUCAUUUCUGCUCAUGUUUCACUGGCCAGCAUUUAAACGGAUGGGCAUACCUAGCUGCAGGGAAGGCUGUAGUCUUCAUUCUGGGAUGAAGUGUACCCAGCUAAAAGUCUAGAGUUUUAUUUCUAUGAGAGAAAUUGAGCAUGGAUACUGGGGGACAAUGAACCAUUUCCACUUCAUCUUCUAAUAAAUGUGACAAGUGCAAUGCUUGUCAUAUAUUGUGUAUUGACUCAAUUCAGAACACACUGGGCAUCUACCCUGUAUAAGGCCUUGGCUUGAGCUCAAUGGCAGAUACACAUAUGUGUGAGACCAAAGGGCACAGGGAGGCCAGAAAAGAGAACAAGUGACAUUUAUUGAAGACUUAUCAUGUCCUGGACCAGGAGCUUUGCAUACAUCAUUGCUUUUAAGCUUUGCAACUCAGUAAAUCUGCAGAAACUAAGUUCCAGAGAAAUGAAGUGCGUCUUAGGUCUGUUUUCCAGGGAAAGAAACUGUGAGAUGAAGAUUUGCAUUCAGGAAGUUUAUUAGGGAGUAGGCUCAGGCUCGACACUGGUGAGGGAGUGAGGGAAGGAGGGCUGGGCAGAGGGAGAAGUUGAUUGCGGGCAACAGAAGCCUCAGCCAUUCCUACCUGAAUGGCCCUUCAGAGUGGUUCUUAACUUCUAAUUAAGGGGCCAGGACUCUGUACCCCCUCACCAGCCAGACAUUGGAUGUGGGAUGCCUACCAAAGCCCCCUUCCUCCCCAGGAGGGGUGUGACCUUGGGCGAAGCGGCUGCUGCUAUCCAAGGGCACUACCCAGGGACGCAGCUGUCAGGCUUCAGCCUUCAACACUCCCAAAUACCUUGGUCCAGAAGGAGGGGUCUGGGCUGCAAAGGACAGUGUCUUCUAGAAAAUGACACAAUCAAGGUCACAUAGCUGGGGGUUCAGAGCUGAGAUUCCAGUUUAGUUUUGUCUUCAGAAUCCACGUGACUCUUCAUGUUCCUUGCUGCCUCCCAGGCAACUGCUCAGGGGCAGAUGGGGCUGGCAGAGGAGGAGCCUGGAGGCUGGACCCUCCCCUGGCACAUUGUCCCUGAGGACGGUUCAAGACAAGGUCCUCCUUCACAGCUCCGGGGCCCCAUCUCACCCUCCUCUUCACUCUGCUCAGUGUGCUCUGGCCACACUGCCCUCUUCACCGCUCCUCUGAUAGCCCACGCUCUCUCCAGAUGCAGCUUCAAGGACCACAGAGGGCCAAGUGCAGGAGUAAGAGGCUGGCGUGCUGACAGUGGCCAAGGGCAUUGGAGGGAAGGACCUGUCAUCACUGGGCCAAGGAAGGAACUCCAGACUGCCUACUUCCAGAGGGCCUGCUGAGGAAUUUUAGCUUGAACUUGCCUGCCUUGACUAGGGCUUUCUGAGCAGCAGAUGAUUCUGCAAUGGUGUUAGUCCAGGCCUGGUUCUGCAUGACAUUGACCAUACUGUGCACCCUGGGGUCAUUAUGUCUUGGGCUUCAAGGGGCUCCAUGGGCUCCAGGGGGCUCCAUGUGACACUGCACAGAGCUCUCUCUAGGUCACCUGGAUGUGUCUCUUCCUAGGAACCCCAAAGAGCUCUCUCAACAAACACACCCACGAGUUCCAGGAGUGAGGCUGCAGGGAACAGCCUCACUCUCAGAGGGGAUACAGAAUUGUUCCACUGGACAAGGGCUGGGAUCGUCAUAGGAUGCCGUUGGCCUGUGGUUUCCAACAGAGGUGCAGUUCAUUGAACUGUGGUCUACAGUCCAUUCUCUAACUUGGGGACCCUUGAAGAAGUGUGGAAUCAUGACAACAACCCUGUUGGGAGACACUAUUAUUCCCAUCACAUGGAUGAGCACACGGAGGCAAAAGGAAGUUAUAUGAUUGUCUGAGAUCACCCAGUGAAGACUGUGUGGCUGGGAGUUGUCCCCAGUGUUAUCUGCACGCUGCUUCCUUUUGAUGCCUGGCCCUUCUUUAUCAAAAGAAGCAUUGGCAGAAUCUGGGUGUUUAUGGGUCAGCUCAAAAUAAAUUACUUUAUAUGUCAUUCAUAUUGUUCUUCAUUUCCUGGACAGUAGAAGUCCCCUCCACACCCACUUUCUGUUGUUAGAAGGGGCUUGUCUCAUUGUGAAGAGGUCUUUUCCUCCCGGCUUCCUGGGCUGAUGUAAAUACCCAGAAGAGAACUCCUCCCUUGUCUGGCAG